rnacentral:tRNA from 1 species
GUAGUGGUGGCUCAGUGGUAGAACUCUCGCCUUCCAUGCAGGAGGCCUGGGUUCAAUUCCCGGCCAAUGCG